ensembl:lncRNA
AGAAGUGUUGGGGUUUUCUGCUCCCAGAACUUCAUUGUUAAAGAAAGGAGGAGGAAUUUGUCCUUCCCUCCACUUGGCAAGCAAUGCGCAUGUUCCUUUCUGUAAACAGCAGACUAAUUUGAGCAGUGAGCAGCCCCCACUGGCUUCUGGCUUUUACUAACUGUAGGCUGAGGGCUCAGUGCAACAAAAACUUGAGUUGCCCACAGAACAGCUACUCUGAUUCAGAUGAAAGCUGGGGAGGACUUCGGUCCUUCUUGGAAAAUACUUGUGCUUUUUUGUUGAUUGUUCUUGUUCCCAACAGAGACAGAAGUGAACUAAUCUCCCAAACUGGGAUGCUCAGAGAUGUCCAAAGUGAGAUAGGACUGGCAAGAAUACAAUACACAGAUUAAUAAGGAAGUCAUUAAGGGAUAGAAAAGCUCUGAUGUGAUGGAGUGGCUUUUAGUUUGAAGAAAAAUAGGAACAUUUACUUUUGGCUCAGGAAGAGACCACAAGAUGCACUGUUUGUUACUGAAGUGAUAGUACUUUUGCCCUGGGCACCUUACUUCAGAGGAAAGAUGCUUCCCAAAACAGUUUUCAGCCACUGAUCUUUCAGCUCCGUGAUUUGGAGUGGCAGAGUUGCACAUGAAGCAUGUAGGAUGAGGUGCCACGUGGCAACAGCUUUCUCUUCUGGCUGUGCUGAGGAGCUCUCAGCACACUGUACUCCCACCUGCCAUUGCAGCAGCUCAUGUGUGGAGGCACCUCUGGAGAACACCAGGUCCAAACCCCAGCCCAAAGCAGCGCCUCCUGGAACUACACAGGGCCAUGGCUGAGUGAGAUCACAAUGGUGGCUGAGAAAUCUUUGUUGCUCCCUUUUCUCCCAUCAGCAACACUCAUAUCCAGGCUGAAUAAAUCCUUCAACAGCAUUCUUUGCUUGUGGCCGUUUGAUGUGUUUCCAAGCAGCUACAAACAUGGGAGACACCCAAACUGCUUAGUGCCAGAAAGGCUGAAACUGCACUGCCAUGGGAGCCUGAACGGCAGAGGGGCCACCUGUCAGUGCCCUGCAGGACCCAAGGUGCUCACCCACCCACUACGCAAGAAGCUCCUCAUGUCCUUCCGCUCUGCGGUGGGCAGCACCUGGAGUGCCUUUCCUAGCUCUGAUUCUAUUCUUCUGCUCCAAAGCAACAAGCCAAACUCCCCACCAGCAUUCAACCUCCGUGCCAAAAAGAAAAUAACAAGAGUAAAAGCACUGCACAACAGAAACACAUAGGACAGUGAAGAGGCUGGGAUUGCUGGGGAGUCCAGCAUAGUCGCGUCGGGGUGCUCAGGUCGGUGCUGCUGCAGCAUUCAUCCAGGCCAAUGGGGAAGGAACCACUUCUUGAAAGUCAGAAGAUGCAAAGCAGACCUUCCACAAGGAUUCCCCAAGGAGCAGAGAAUUUGAGGAUCACUGCGAAGGGCAUCAUUGCUCCUUGCUGUUCAUCCCAAACUGUCUUCAUUCUCUCACCCUGUGUAUUCCUGCACAACGGGACUGAGGGAAGUGCAUGAGAUCUAUUGCUGAACUGUGGUGUGGAUAGACUUUGUCUUCCUCAGCUAGCAUUCUGUCACCUUUCAAGAGUGAAAAAUUCAUUUUUAAAACAAAAAUCCCAAGUAAGAAACCUCACAUAGUUGCAGGAAACCACCACAGAGGUAUACAAUAUCCAGCGGAAGACCUUGCUGAAAACUGAACAGAUUACUCUUGUUAUAUGUGGUUAAACUGGGCCAUUAAUGCUAAAACAGUUCAAAGCACAAAAUAAAUUCUGAUUUUCUCCUGUCAAAGUUGGUGGUUUGGUGUUCACACAUUCUAGGCUCCGGUUAAAUGAUUUACUGUACAAUUUAAUGCCUUUCAGCUGUCACUAGCAUAAAAGGAUCCCUUGAAUGAUCUGCCAGUGAAUGAAGGCAGCACUUGCCCAGGGUGGAGUGUGGCCAGGGCUGCAGGACCCAACUUGCCAAGAUACUCAGGAACAAUCACGUAAGCCACUGUGACCCAUGUGUGGUACCCAGCGAAGUGAAGGCCACCUUGCUGUGAUCACAUCUGCAAAACCACUUCAUUUAAAGCAUACUGAGACGUUCACUCUGCUGUGGAACUUUUACGAGCAACUGCCUUUACAACAGCUCGCACCAUAGGCACGCUGCUAUUCUUUGUCCUUCUUUUGAACUCUUCUCUGCUCCCGGUCUUCCAGCGGUGUGAUUUUUUGAAGUUUUCCUUCACAAUAGCUUCUCAAAAUCCCAGUUCUCACAUAUCAACACAAAUAGGAGAAACAGUUGCCAUGGGACAGUGAAAAACAUAUUUCAGGAGCUCAGGAGCAAAGAAGGAAAUAAAAAAGGCACUGGAUUUCAGCAGUUACGUGUUGUAGUGUUUGACGUAGCUCUGAGUUCUUUGCUUUGUCUCUAGCUGAAGUGGUACUGUGCCUCUCAUGUUCAGCAGUGGGUGCACUCAGCAGUGGGUGCAGCUCUUAGCAGUGACCUCAUGGGGACACGGCAGUGCCCAGCACUGCAGCCAUGCUCUGUGGAACAGAGAGGAGAAUAUUGGUGUCACCUAAAACU